CUACGUAGGGUGCAAGCGUUAAUCGGAAUUACUGGGCGUAAAGCGUGCGCAGGCGGUUUUGUAAGACAGUGGUGAAAUCCCCGGGCUCAACCUGGGAACUGCCAUUGUGACUGCAAGGCUGGAGUGCGGCAGAGGGGGAUGGAAUUCCGCGUGUAGCAGUGAAAUGCGUAGAUAUGCGGAGGAACACCGAUGGCGAAGGCACUCCCCUGGGCCUGCACUGACGCUCAUGCACGAAAGCGUGGGGAGCAAACAGGAUUAGAUACCCUGGUAGUCCACGCCCUAAACGAUGUCAACUGGUUGUUGGGGAUUUAUUUUCUCAGUAACGAAGCUAACGCGUGAAGUUGACCGCCUGGGGAGUACGGCCGCAAGGUUAAAACUCAAAGGAAUUGACGGGG
rnacentral:rRNA from 1 species